CGGUAAAACCAGCACCUCAAGUGGUCAGGAGGAUUAUUGGGCCUAAAGCAUCCGUAGCCGGCUCUGUAAGUUUUCGGUUAAAUCUAUAUGCUCAACGUAUAGGCUGCCGAAAAUACUGCACAGCUAGGGAAUGGGAGAGGUAGACGGUACUCGGUAGGAAGGGGUAAAAUCCUUUGAUCUAUCGAUGACCACCUGUGGCGAAGGCGGUCUACCAGAACAUGUUCGACGGUGAGGGAUGAAAGCUGGGGGAGCAAACCGGAUUAGAUACCCGGGUAGUCCCAGCUGUAAACGAUGCAGACUAGAUAAUGCACUGGCACAUAGCCAGUGCAGUGUCUCAGGGAAGCCGUUAAGUCUGCCGCCUGGGAAGUACGUACGCAAGUAUGAAACUUAAAGGAAUUGGCGGGGGAGCACCACAAGGGGUGAAGCCUGCGGUUCAAUUGGAGUCAACGCCAGAAAUCUUACCCGGAGAGACAGCAGAAUGAAGGUCAGGCUGAAGACCUUACCAGGCAAGCUGAGAGGUGGUGCAUGGCCGUCGUCAGCUCGUGCCGUGAGAUGUCCUGUUAAGUCAGGUAACGAGCGAGAUCCCUGCCAUUAGUUGCCAUCACUACUCUCAGGAGUAGUGGGGCGAAUUAAUGGGACCGCCGUAGUUAAUACGGAGGAAGGAAGGGGCCACGGCAGGUCAGUAUGCCCCGAAACUCUGGGGCCACACGCGGGCUGCAAUGGUAGUGACAAUGGGUUCCUAACUCGAAAGAGAGCGGCAAUCCCAAAACGCUACCACAGUUAUGACUGAGGGCUGUAACUCGCCCUCACGAAUAUGGAAUCCCUAGUAACUGCGUGUCAUUAUCGCGCGGUGAAUACGUCCCUGCUCC
rnacentral:rRNA from 1 species